rnacentral:rRNA from 1 species
ACUCCUACGGGAGGCAGCAGUCGAGAAUCUUCUGCAAUGGGGGCAACCCUGACAGAGCGACGCCGCGUGGAGGAUGAAGGCCCUCGGGUUGUAAACUCCUGUCACAUGUUAAGAAACGUACGGGUUCACUCGUACGCUGACGAAGGCAUGAGAGGAAGUCACGGCUAACUUCGUGCCAGCAGCCGCGGUAAGACGAAGGUGGCAAGCGUUAUUCGGAUUUACUGGGCAUAAAGCGCGCGUAGGCGGCUUGGCAAGUCGGGGGUGAAAGCCCGCAGCCCAACUGCGGAACUGCCUUCGAUACUGCCGGGCUUGAGGGCGGGAGGGGUGAUUGGAACUCCAA